AGUAACGCGUAGGAAUAUGCCUAUUAGUGGGGGACAACUCGGGGAAACUCGAGCUAAUACCGCAUACGCUCCUCUUUAACUAGAGGAGGAAAGUGGGGGGAUCUUCGGACCUCACGCUAUUAGAGUAGCCUGCGUUGGAUUAGCUUGUUGGUGGGGUAAAGGCUCACCAAGGCGACGAUCCAUAGCUGGUCUGAGAGGACGAUCAGCCACACUGGAACUGAGACACGGUCCAG
rnacentral:rRNA from 1 species